UGUGUAGGCGGUUCUUUAAGUUUGGUGUGAAAUCUCCCGGCUCAACCGGGAGGGUGCGCCGAAUACUGAGGGACUAGAGUGUGGGAGAAGAAAGUGGAAUUCCUGGUGUAGCGGUGAAAUGCGUAGAUAUCAGGAGGAACACCGGUGGUGUAGACGGCUUUCUGGACCAUAACUGACGCUGAGGCACGAAAGCGUGGGUAGCAAACAGGAUUAGAUACCCUGGUAGUCCACGCCCUAAACGAUGCAUAUUUGGUGUGGGUCAUUCAGUUGAUCCGUGCCGGAGCUAACGCGUUAAAUAUGCCGCCUAGGGAGUACAGUCGCAAGGCUGAA
rnacentral:rRNA from 1 species